UACACGACCGUACCGCAAACCGACACUGGUGCGCGAGAUGAGUAUUCUAAGGCGCUUGAGAGAACUCAGGAGAAGGAACUCGGCAAAUUGACACCGUAACUUCGGAAGAAGGUGUGCCUUUAGUAGGUGAAGUCCCUCGCGGAUGGAGCCCAAUGAGGUUGCAAAAAAUCGGUGGCUGCGACUGUUUAUUAAAAACACAGCACUCUGCAAACACGAAAGUGGACGUAUAGGGUGUGACGCCUGCCCGGUGCUGGAAGAUUAAAUGAUGGGGUGCAAGCUCUUGAUUGAAGUCCCAGUAAACGGCGGCCGUAACAAUAACGGUCCUAAGGUAGCGAAAUUCCUUGUCGGGUAAGUUCCGACCUGCACGAAUGGCGUAACGAUGGCCACACUGUCUCCUCCUGAGACUCAGCGAAGUUGAAAUGUUUGUGAUGAUGCAAUCUCCCCGCGGAAAGACGGAAAGACCCCAUGAACCUUUACUGUAGCUUUGUAUUGGACUUUGAACAGAUCUGUGUAGGAUAGGUGGGAGCUUUGAAGCAGGGUCGCUAGAUCUUGUGGAGCCAACGUUGAAAUACCACCCUGGUGUGUUUGAGGUUCUAACCUAGGCCCGUAAUCCGGGUUGGGGACAGUGCAUGGUAGGCAGUUUGACUGGGGCGGUCUCCUCCCAAAGUGUAACGGAGGAGUUCGAAGGUACGCUAGUUACGGUCGGACAUCGUGACGAUAGUGCAAUGGCAUAAGCGUGCUUAACUGCGAGACUGACAAGUCGAGCAGAUGCGAAAGCAGGACAUAGUGAUCCGGUGGUUCUGUAUGGAAGGGCCAUCGCUCAACGGAUAAAAGGUACUCUGGGGAUAACAGGCUGAUACCGCCCAAGAGUUCAUAUCGACGGCGGUGUUUGGCACCUCGAUGUCGGCUCAUCUCAUCCUGGGGCUGUAGCCGGUCCCAAGGGUAUGGCUGUUCGCCAUUUAAAGAGGUACGUGAGCUGGGUUUAAAACGUCGUGAGACAGUUUGGUCCCUAUCUUCCGUGGGCGCUGCAGAUUUGAGGAAGCCUGCUCCUAGUACGAGAGGACCGGAGUGGACGCACCUCUGGUGUAUCGGUUGUCACGCCAGUGGCAUUGCCGAGUAGCUAUGUGCGGAAGAGAUAACCGCUGAAAGCAUCUAAGCGGGAAACUCGUUUCAAGAUGAGAUCUGCCGGGGCCUUGAGCCCCCUGAAGAGUCGUUCAAGACCAGGACGUUGAUAGGUCGGGUGUGGAAGCGCAGUAAUGCGUUAAGCUAACCGAUACUAAUUGCUCGUGCGGCUUGACCU
rnacentral:rRNA from 1 species